rnacentral:misc_RNA from 1 species
AUCAGCAGGCACAUAUAUAGCUUGCACAGAGGUGAUGGAACCCUUUUUCGUCGUCGUAAUACGCUCUUGCAGUCCACCAAGAUCGGUGGCAAGAGUUGGUUGAUAACCAACAGCAGAUGGGAUACGCCCAAGCAAUGCAGACACUUCGGAGUUUGCUUGAGUGAACCGGAAUAUGUUGUCGAUAAAAAGCAGCACAUCUUGCCCUUCGGCAUCUCUAAAGUGCUCAGCCACUGUAAGCCCAGUCAAGCCAACACGUGCACGAGCACCUGGGGGUUCAUUCAUUUGCCCAUAGACAAGUGCACACUUGCUUUCACUCUGCUUUUCUCCCAGCUUAAUAACACCACUCUCAAUCAUUUCCCUAUACAAGUCAUUGCCCUCACGGGUACGUUCCCCCACACCGGCAAAGACAGAGAAACCACCAUGA